AUUGAACGCUGGCGGCAUGCCUUACACAUGCAAGUCGAACGGCAGCGGACCUUCGGGUGCCGGCGAGUGGCGAACGGGUGAGUAAUGUAUCGGAACGUACCUUUCAGUGGGGGAUAACGUAGCGAAAGUUACGCUAAUACCGCAUAUUCUGUGAGCAGGAAAGCAGGGGAUCGCAAGACCUUGCGCUGAUUGGGCGGCCGAUAUCAGAUUAGAUAGUUGGUGAGGUAAAGGCUCACCAAGGCGACGAUCUGUAGCGGGUCUGAGAGGAUGAUGCGCCACACUGGAACUGAGACACGGUCCAGACUCCGACGGGAGGCAGCAGUGGGGAAUUUUGGACAAUGGGGGCAACCCUGAUUCAGCCAUGCCGCGUGAGUGAAGAAGGCCUUCGGGUUGUAAAGCUCUUUCGUCCGGGAAGAAAUCGCAUCAGCUAAUACCUGGUGUGGAUGACGGUACCGGAAUAAGAAGCACCGGCUAACUACGUGCCAGCCGCCGCGGUAAAAC
rnacentral:rRNA from 1 species